rnacentral:rRNA from 1 species
CCGUGCUAAGGUAGCAUAAUCAUUUGUCUCUUAAUUAGAGGCUAGUAUGRAUGAGUGAAUAAUACCUUGGCUGUCUCGACAAAAAUUAAUGAAAUUGAUAAUUGCGUCAAAAAGCGCACCUCCCUGGAAAGACGAUAAGUCCCCGUAAAAUUUUUACUUACCCCCUCUGCUAAUCCUUAGGGCCUUCCCCCAGAAAGGGUUGAGUUAAGCUGGGGCGGCAUCUAAUACAAAAACAAACUUUAGUAAACCCCCCACUCCCGAUGAUAAAAAAGAUCUUAAACCUUAUAAGAAUUAGAAAAAACUACUUCGGGGAUAACAGCAUAAUUUUUUUAUAUAGACCAGAUAGAAAAAAAAGAUUAUGACCUCGAUGUUGAAUUGGGGCCCCUCACUGAAGCAAACAUCCGUGGAGGGGGUCUGUUCGACCCUUAAUCCCCC